rnacentral:ribozyme from 13 species
UUGGAUGCGUCGAAUCAAAAAAAAAAAAAAAAAAAAAAAAAAAAAAAAAAAAAAA